CAUUAGCUUAGAUAGGAUAAGCUGUUUGUUACUCACAUGGAGCUCUGCCAGUAUUUAUUCUUGGCUUACAGAUUUCUCUGGGACUCCAAACACAGCACCCCAUACAAGCCUGCCUUAGUCCUAACCCUCACCACUCUGCCAGCCUGGUUCUAAGCUUUGCCAGUUCUUCUCCAGUAUGGCCUGUGGUAUCCUCUGAUUUUCCAUAUCAAAGUCUCUCUGAUCCACACCUGAACAGAUGCCAUUCCACAUGACAUGAGCAGAGAGACCUUGAAAAGAAGAGGAGGGAAAGAGCUGGGAAAUCUGAAUAUGAGUGUCCUUGUGGAUACCAGGAUCAGCUUCGUUGAGGUUGGGCAUGUUAUACCUGUGCACACCUGAAUCUGUGAAAAGACAGGCAGAUUCUAGUACGGUUUUGUUGAGGCAGUGAUCCCGCCACUGAAGUACCACAUCACCUCAUACUUAAGUCUUGAUUAAAUUCCAGUCCAGAUAACAAUAUUACACUUGCCUACAUUCUCCUCUCCAAUUUCAUAGGGGGAUUUUUGCAUCUGACCUAUUUAGUACUUUGCCUUCAUGUGUUCUUUACCACUUGUACUUUAAACAUGAAUGCUUUUCUUUGGUGUAUUUUUCAUACACAAACACAAAGAUAUCAGGAUCUCUAUGCUAGAUGUUUGUUACCACCAUGAAAAUGUAAUUGUUUUCUUAAUCCCUAAUAGAAAAUACCAACUACACUGGAAACCUAUCCACCAAUGCCUAUGAGGCUCUGACACCAGCAGCAUCUUAACACCAAGUAGAAGUUCCAGAGAGGGUCAGAAAUUCCCAAUAACAGAAACCUUUGACCCCUUCAUGGUCAAAGCUGUUCAUAACUUUGCCACACGUACUCCCAGCCAUGGCCAGGUAUUUCUCUGUGGUGAGAAAUAUUUCUCCUGUGGAUAGUAACUGCCUUAGUGCAGAAGAGACUUCAUAGCCUGGCUUAUGUAUCACCACUAAAUUUUACUGAGGUGUUCCAGUCCCAAAAAUUUCAGCAAGUCACCAUUCAGGAGGCUGGAGGGAUAUCCAAGCUCUGUUUAAAGAUAUCAUUAAGAGAGAAAAUACAUGGGUCUUUUCCAGUGUCAUUUCACCGUUAAAAAUGUGUGCCCAACUCUUUGGCACACUGCGCCUGGUACUCUAGUUGUUAUAGGUGCACUUUGCUGUUGUGUCAUCAAAGAAAAAUCUAGGUAAAUAGAAUAAACUACAGAAACAGAAAGCUUUGGGCCAUUAAAUUGUCUGUUGUUUCUCUCAGGUUGCUGGCAAGUAGGAAGUGCCUGCACUGGGCAUCAGUGGCAUCGCAGAGAUGUUGAUGAGCCAAGAGAAGGCUACUGACCAAACAAAAGAGAAAUUGGGCACCUAAUCUUCUCACCUGAACUCUUCUGAAAAACCCUGACAUCACUCAGAGCACCAAAUGCUGCUGGCACAGUGCCACUUCCAUCAGUGGCAUGUCUCACUAGCAAACUUACCCAGAGUCUGUAACUGAAAACCACAAAGAGAGAGAGAGACAGAACUGGAAGAGAAGUUGUUCUUCAUGUCCAGGCAUUUGUAUACCAGGCCCAACACAUGGAUCCUUCAGAGGAAGACGUAUGCUGAGCCCUAAUGAAUUCAGCUAUGCAGUGAUGGUCUUAAUUGCUGAGAACCUGCAGUAGCAGAAGAACCCUUUCUACUACACUGACACCUGCAAAUCUCCAUCUAGAGGCAAGUUGGGGCAGUCCAGAGUAAAGACAGAAAAGCCACAGCACACUCAUGACCCUAUGAAGAAUAGCAACCACAGAGAGUCUGUUCAGGCACCCUAAAAUGAGGUGGAAUUCAAUUUCCCCCAGCUUCCCAGACAUAGCUAUGAGUUUGAAGUUGGAUUGGACUCCAUAUGGACUCCAGAAAAGAGAUCUGUUCCAACCUCAU